UUGAACGCUGGCGGCAGGCCUAACACAUGCAAGUCGCACGGUAACAGGAAGCAGCUUGCUGCUUCGCUGACGAGUGGCGGACGGGUGAGUAAUGUCUGGGAAACUGCCUGAUGGAGGGGGAUAACUACUGGAAACGGUAGCUAAUACCGCAUAACGUCGCAAGACCAAAGAGGGGGACCUUAGGGCCUCUUGCCAUCGGAUGUGCCCAGAUGGGAUUAGCUAGUAGGUGGGGUAACGGCUCACCUAGGCGACGAUCCCUAGCUGGUCUGAGAGGAUGACCAGCCACACUGGAACUGAGACACGGUCCAGACUCCUACGGGAGGCAGCAGUGGGGAAUAUUGCACAAUGGGCGCAAGCCUGAUGCAGCCAUGCCGCGUGUAUGAAGAAGGCCUUCGGGUUGUAAAGUACUUUCAGCGGGGAGGAAGGGAGUAAAGUUAAUACCUUUGCUCAUUGACGUUACCCGCAGAAGAAGCGCCGGCUAACUCCGCG
rnacentral:rRNA from 1 species